GGCGAACGCUGGCGGCGUGCUUAACACAUGCAAGUCGAACGGUGAAGCCUUCGGGUGGAUCAGUGGCGAACGGGUGAGUAACACGUGAGCAAUCUGCCCUUGACUCCGGGAUAACUUCGGGAAACCGGAGCUAAUACCGGAUAUGACAUCUGGCCGCAUGGUCUGGGUGUGGAAAGAUUUAUCGGUCAAGGAUGAGCUCGCGGCCUAUCAGCUUGUUGGUGGGGUAAGGCCCACCAAGGCGACGACGGGUAGCCGGCCUGAGAGGGCGACCGGCCACACUGGGACUGAGACACGGCCCAGACUCCUACGGGAGGCAGCAGUGGGGAAUAUUGCGCAAUGGGCGGAAGCCUGACGCAGCGACGCCGCGUGAGGGAUGAAGGCC
rnacentral:rRNA from 1 species